UAAUUUUAAUUUAGAAACACAAAUGUCAACCUAUGUAACUCUCUCUGCUCCACAUAGCCUUCUAGCAGUUAAACCCAAGUAACAAGCUCAUUGCUGCUUUCCACUUCCGCAAGCUCUGUGUGGCACUCUGCUCUCAUUUACAUCUUUUAAGGGCUCCUCUGAAUCUGCUCUGGAGUUCAUGGCUGCCAUUGUAAGUCUUGAGAGCCUUCCCAUACAUGUGUACCUUUGAUAUGAGAACAGAGACUUGGGAUGCCAUGGAUCUUGGAGCAGGAACUUCAGAUCUUACUUCUUUGAACAAGAUUGGCCUACCUAAGAAGGCUGAAGCAAGUAGGAACUGAAAACAAGAUCCAGAGAAACAGAGGAAUGCAGAAGAGUGUACGCAAGGC